CGGUGCAGCUGGAGGCUUCGGCCGAAGGCUGCAUAGCGGCGGACGGGUGCGUAACGCGUAGGAACGUGCCCCCUGGAGGCGGGUAGCCGCGGGAAACUGCGGGUAAACCGCCAUAGACUCGGGAGAGUAAAGGCCGGAAGGCGCCAGGGGAGCGGCCUGCGUCCCAUCAGGUAGUUGGUAGGGUAACGGCCUACCAAGCCGACGACGGGUAGCCGGUCUGAGAGGAUGGCCGGCCACAAGGGCACUGAGACACGGGCCCUACUCCUACGGGAGGCAGCAGUGGGGAAUAUUGGACAAUGGGCGAAAGCCUGAUCCAGCAAUGCCGCGUGAGUGAUGAAGGCCUUAGGGUUGUAAAGCUCUUUUACCCGGGAUGAUAAUGACAGUACCGGGAGAAUAAGCUCCGGCUAACUCCGUGCCAGCCGCCGCGGUAAUUCA
rnacentral:rRNA from 1 species